GGAGAUUUAGCUCAGUGACGUAAGCACCUGCCUUGCAAGCAGGUGGUCGUGAGUUCAAUCCCCG
rnacentral:tRNA from 1 species